UGGGAGUCUGGUGGGAGAAGGAAAAGAAUGAACAUGGUGUCAGCCUGCUGCUUACCUUUCCUUCAGUGCUAGAGGGUGCCUGAGAUAUGUGAGAGGUUCGUGGUCUAAUUCAUCCUGAGUGACCAUCCUUUACCUCCCAGGUUUCAUGAAAAUGAAGAACCAGAGAGAUUUCAUCACAGAAGAUACAUGGAGGUAAAAGAGCAUUUUGCAAAUUCAGGAAUGUCUUAGAGCCAUGGGUUUGGCGCAAAUCAAAGUAUUAGGAACAAAGCUCGUGUCUCCAAAAAAGUUGCAUGCAAGAAUCUUUCCUCCAGGUUGACAAAAGUGGGCAUGUAAUGGGAAAUAAGAUAAGGCUGCAAGAACACUUGGAUAUUAGAACCGUUCCUGCUCUUGUCACUGCCUCUCAUCUCUUUCAAGAAAAAAUCCAGAAGCCAAGUUUACCUCAGGAGGAAGACAAUUGUCUGAGUCAAAGCAGGAGAAAUU